CAACAGGGAUUGCCCUAGUAACGGCGAGUGAAGCGGCAACAGCUCAAAUUUGAAAUCUGGCUCUUUUAGGGUCCGAGUUGUAAUUUGCAGAGGGCGCUUUGGCUUUGGCAGCGGUCCAAGUUCCUUGGAACAGGACGUCACAGAGGGUGAGAAUCCCGUACGUGGUCGCUAGCUAUUGCCGUGUAAAGCCCCUUCGACGAGUCGAGUUGUUUGGGAAUGCAGCUCUAAAUGGGAGGUAAAUUUCUUCUAAAGCUAAACAUUGGCCAGAGACCGAUAGCGCACAAGUAGAGUGAUCGAAAGAUGAAAAGCACUUUGGAAAGAGAGUCAAACAGCACGUGAAAUUGUUGAAAGGGAAGCGCUUGCAGCCAGACUUGCUUGCAGUUGCUCAUCCGGGCUUUUGCCCGGUGCACUCUUCUGCAGGCAGGCCAGCAUCAGUUUGGGCGGUGGGAUAAAGGUCUCUGACACGUUCCUUCCUUCGGGUUGGCCAUAUAGGGGAGACGUCAUACCACCAGCCUGGACUGAGGUCCGCGCAUCUGCUAGGAUGCUGGCGUAAUGGCUGUAAGCGGCCCGUCUUGAAACACGGACCAAGGAGUCUAACAUCUAUGCGAGUGUUUGGGUGUCAAGCCCGAGCGCGUAAUGAAAGUGAACGGAGGUGGGAACCCGCAAGGGCGCACCAUCGACCGAUCCUGAAGUUUACGGAAGGAUUUGAGUAAGAGCAUGGCUGUUGGGACCCGAAAGAUGGUGAACUAUGCUUGAAUAGGGUGAAGCCAGAGGAAACUCUGGUGGAGGCUCGCAGCGGUUCUGACGUGCAAAUCGAUCGUCAAAUUUGGGCAUAGGGGCGAAAGACUAAUCGAACU
rnacentral:rRNA from 1 species